CACGUCCCAGAUGACAAGAACUCCACCAACUACAUAAUUAAGUUGGAUCAGGCAUCUCUGUCUCUCUCCUCCAGAGAAGAUUACAUCACCAACACCACCAGCGCUCAGGCAUAUCGUAGUGCUCUCCUGAACCUCAUGGUGGACAUAGCAGUGAUGUUAGGAGCUCCACUGGAAGCAGCUGAGAUUCAGAUGAGUGAAGCACUGGCCUUUGAGACCAAACUGGCUCAGAUUGUGAUUCCAUUUGAGAACCGGACCAGUGAGUACAUGUACAAUAGAUGCACCA